CUUGGUCCUGGUGAAUUGGCUUGUGAUAUAUAUUGGCAGCCAGACAGCCCUCGGAGAUGUCCCACAGUGCAGGCCUGCACAGUGCACUCUCUACUGAAGUGUCGGAGGAGGCCAGUGGAGCCGCGACUCAGCGCUUACACACAUCUGGGAAUUGCGUGAUCGCAGGAGCCUCUCUAGCACAGAGCCUGAAGUCAGCUGUCUUUUCACCAGAUAGACUUCCUUGGAUGUAUAGAUCAAGUAAGAUAUCUGUAGCUGCCUAUCAGUUUGUUCCUCUGAAUCCCAUGAUUAAGUCACUUAGAGAUAUUGGCUCAACAUGUUAUCUCCCCAUCUGUGAUCACCAGGCCCACGCCAUAGUCUGUCACAAUAACUACAGUAGUUAGUUGCCCUGCCCGGAAACCCCGGGCUCUUCCCAGCCCCGGUGAGUGCAGAGAGUCCAUUUCAACUGUACUCAAUCCCAGCACAGCACUGUUUGAAGAGUUUGGAGCCUACCUCCGUCCAUCUAUUUUCCAUUCUGAGAUAAGCAACUCAUCGGGGUUCUUGGAGGACACGAUGGAGCUGGGUUUACGCAGGAGGUCCCCGGUGGAUUUAAUGCAGCAAUCCAUCUGUGUACUGCUACUUUUACAUUCUUUCUUCCACUUCCGUCAAGAGAAUUUUUUGGCCAUUCGGUGUCAUUUAGGAGGAUCCAACAAGUCCAGGUUUGUAUUAGCCAACUCAGCAAACUGGUAGGACUCGAGAGGCCACAAAGCUGACCUCUAAUGAAAGUAGCCAUAUCAAUGAAUCCAUCCACAUCCUAGAUUUCAUUCUGCCCUCCUUGCUUCAGGAGCCAUUCCCACCUAUUCCCCAGGUUUUUGAUAAUUAAAAGCCAACAAAUUCCAAUAAGUCCUUCAGAGGGUAACACUAUCUUCUAUCUUCUGAUUUCUUAUUUGAUCCCCCUGGUCAUGAUGAGUUCAGACUCUGGAGAGGCAGGACCUGAGGGGAGCUUUUCACUAAGAUGUACAGGGGCGAGGAGAUUCAUUCAGGUCCAUCAAGUCCCCAGAAUCUCCCAGAUAUCAUCAUUCCCAUUGUUAGGACCCAACUUUUUAAAAAGUUCAAUGUUUUACAUUUCACAAAGAGACACAGAGAAACAGUAUGUUCAAUUGACAUUAUGAUUCAGAAACCCACAGAAUCAGUUUCUGAGUGAGGUCCUCCACUGUCUUUGCCGAGAGUUCUCAACCAGAGGUGAUGCUACUCCUCAAAGGGGCAUUUGGAAAUGGUGAUGGGAGUCUGGUGGUCACAAUAGCUGUGUGUUGCUGUUGGUAUUUGGUACCCAAAGAUAAAGAAUAUUAAACAUACUGUGAAAUCAGGACUUAGGAAUGAAUUGGGGCAUUUGUGGGGAUCUCUCAGGAGCUCACAGGCCAUCUCUUUUUUGAGCCCUGUCAUGAGAAUGAUAGAACUCCCUUCCCAGCCAUGGUCAUUCUCCUCAAGAUGCAAAUUCUCAGGAGACGAAGUCUGAUUGGCUUUUCCUGGGCUCAGCCUUGGAGGAAGAUCAGAGCUGGGGCACGAUAAUUGAUAGUUUGUUGGUUCUGCAAAGGAAAAGGAGGGUCUUUAUACCAAAAGAAAGAAAAUGGACGCUGAAUAGGCACAAAACAAUAAUGACAGCAAACAAAACAAAUGUCCACAACAGUUACUAUCAGUCAGAGAAUCUCGAAUCUGAUCACUUCUGGGUCAGAGGAUUGAUCAGAAUUCUUUCAGUUAUAAGAGACAGAAACUCAGCUGAAGGCAGUUAAAUGUAUUAGCUUGUGUAACUGUGAAAUCCACCACCCCUCACUUAGGGUCUAUUUUCAUCCAUUGCAGUGGGUACUGACAAAUAAAAAUGGCAAGUAAUAAGAUAUAUUGGAAUAU
rnacentral:lncRNA from 1 species